rnacentral:rRNA from 1 species
CACGUAGGGCGCAAGCGUUUGUCCGGAAUUAUUGGGCGUAAAGAGCUCGUAGGUGGUUUGCUGCGUCCGCUGUGAAAACCCAAGGCUUAACCUUGGGCUUGCAGUGGAUACGGGCAGACUAGAGGUAGGUAGGGGAGAAUGGAAUUCCCGGUGUAGCGGUGAAAUGCGCAGAUAUCGGGAGGAACACCGGUGGCGAAGGCGGCCUGCUG